ensembl:snoRNA small nucleolar RNA SNORD53/SNORD92
UUGAUGUGAUGAUGCCUGAGAAUGGUUUCGCACACUGGACUGAAGUGCCUGUGAUGUCAUACUUCUCUUGGCUAUCUGAUCAG